GGCCACCUUUAUUCAGGUACACACAUGUCAACAUUCAUGUACGUAUAAUAUAUAGAUUUAUUUUUUUCAUAUACAUCUUUUUUUAUAGUCUUCAUCACAGCAAAUACAACCAACGAACGAACACACAAACACACACACACACACACACACACACACACACAUACACACACACACACGCACACGCACACAUACAUACAUACACGGGUCACGGCUUGGCUCACUCCCACACCAACAAAUACACGAACACAAAGAGAAAAAAAAGGUUCACGUUCGGUUUUUAAAGUGAUUCGUGAUUCGUUCGUUUCGAGUUUCGUGUUUCGAGUCAAUUUCGUUUUAUAGGUUCGUUUUGUUUCAUUUUGUUUUUCAUAUUCGUUUUUUGGGGUGUGUUUUAGUGUUAUAGUGUGUGUGUGUGUGUCGCCAGCGCGCGUGUGUCCGCCAAUCAGGUUCAGCGACACACAUUCUAAGCUUAUGAUUGGCUGACGAGACGAGCGCUGGCGAGGGCGUGCGUUCGUGCUUGUGUGUGUGUGUGUGUGUGUGUACCUCAGCGCAUCACACUUUUAUUUUUGUUUUACGAGUCCCAUAACAAUAAUAAUAAUAAUAAUAAUAAUAAUAAUAAUAAUAAUAAUAAUAAUAAUAAUAAUAAUAAUAAUAAUAAUAAUAAUAAUAAUAACAAAAAUAAUGAUAAUGAUGAUGAUGAUGAUUGUAAGGAAAGAAGUGGGGUCAGAGGUCAUCAUUGCUGCCUAGCCUGACCUUGCCUGCCCAAAAAAUAUAUUAGGUCAAGAUUAGACGAGUUUUUGGAUAAGAUUUUUUUUUCUUCAUAUAAUUUUCGAGAUGACAUUGAACACUACUUUCUCUCGUGUGUGUGUGUGUGUGUGUGUGUGUGUGUGUGUGUGUGUGUGUGUGUGUGUGUGUGUGUGUGUGUGUGUGUGUGAAUGAGUUUGUGUGUAUAUUUCUGUGUAUGAGUGUGUGUGUGUGUGCGGUUAUGUGUGUGUAUUUUUGGACUAGCACUGGCCAUUACCCAAUGACUAACACACACACACACACACACACACACACACACACACACAGAAAGACAUUAACAGCUGCACAUACAUCUCUCUCUCUCUCUCACACACACACACACACAGUCUUGGUCAGCGAUAGAUAGACAGAUAGAUAGAAAUAUAGAUAGAGAGAUAGAUAGACAUAGAGAAAGAUAGACAGAUAGAAAUAGAGAGAACACAAUAACAUAUUCUCCUACUAAACAUCCCUCAUAGCAAAUCUAACAUGACCCAGCCUACCCUAACCUGACAUGACCUAACCUAACCAUCCCUAACACAACACACCAUGCAUGACCUCCAGUGACCUCUCAACCUUGACCAACUCGCUGCGGGCGCCGACCAAACCCCAAAGAGGAAUCGAACAAGUACACAACGCCAAGAAUUCCGAAAAAUACACGUUACAUGACCUUUUAUGAUCUUAGGAAACGUUCGCCUUGUCCCCCGAGCAGCCAUUCACGAGAGUCAAGGCGUGUGACCUCUAGCGGCGGGGAGGUCAAACUAACACCCGCUGCAGAGGAUAUAGACUGACCGAUACUGGUUCUGUACGUGUAGUGUGACCAUUGAGAGGGAUUGUAAGGCGAAAUUGACCUUAUGUAUGGCGUUCUUAGUGCCUUGUUUUCCUUGCAAUGCCUCGGCGCCCGCUCCUGAUAUCCUAACAAGUUCUUUUUCUUAUAUUUUUGCUUCGUCUGAAAAUUCUAUUCCUUAUACUUUUUUUUAAUCUUUCUCUGUUCUUCUUUUUCUUGUUGCUGGGUUCUCUCACUGGCCCUCUUUCUCUCUCUCUCUCUCUCUCUCUCUCGCCCCAGGACUGCAUGGCAUCACUCUGGAAUGGAAGACUUCUGGGAAACAUUCACUCACUUCUGAAACACUGAACGAAGAGAUUAGAGAAAAAGAAGACGUCUGAGGGUGAACUAAGCUGAAUAAAUAGAUGAAAUUGGUACAGGAGUGAAAGACAAAUGUAAAAACCAUGAACAUAAAUAGAUGAACGAGAAGGUCAGCCAGCAGGAUGACGUUAGAGGCUGUACUAACAUAAAUAAACAGAUUGGUAGAUUGAAAUGAAUGAGGGGAUGAAUAAAUAAAUGAAAGAAAUGUAGUGAAACGCCUGACGAGCAUAGAGAUGAAUGACUAGGUUUAUGUAUAUGAAAAUAAUUUGUGUAUUCGUAAACAACACUGCAUUCGUUGAUGAAAUUCAAACAGUAAAAAUGAAAUAAAUGAAACUGCAAACACUUUUCGUAUUUGGCAAUUAAAUAAAAAAAUAAAGAAAGAGAGAAGGGAAGGAAACAAAAUAUAAAUAAUGAACGAACGAAAUCAGACUUCAAGACAGAAUUAUAUUUACCGAUUGAAUAGCAACAAAAAAGUAAUGCAAUAUUCUUGAUUUUGAACGUCUUAUAAUAAUAUUAAUAAUAAUAAUGAUAACAGUAAUGAUGAAAACAAUAAUAACAAUAACAAUAAUCGACUGAUCGUGGGACUUUUUUUUUUUUUUUACUUUUCUACUUUUUUUUAGUUACUUUUUUGUGUAUACUUUUUUUGUUACUUUUAUCUUGUGUGUUUUUAUGCGAAAGGUACGUGUGUGUGUGUGUGUGUGUGUGUGUGUGUGUGUGUGUGUGUGUGUGUGUGUGUGUGUGUGUGUGUGUGUGUGUGUGUGUAUUGGUAGUAAAAUCGUCAAUAUCUUGGUGGUUCCCUAUUGGCACUUCCCUACAUUUAUGGUGCCAUCCUUGCUUCCAUGGCACCAUACUGGCACUAUAUCGGCUCUUAUGGUGCCAUGAUAUCCUAAGGUGCCUCUCCUAAGCUUGUGUGGUAGUCUAUGGUGCUUCCCUUGACUACCAAUGCUUAGUAUGGUGGUAUAGUGCAUCCCUUAUGGUGUUGGUUACGGUGCCAUUACCAUACGACUCCCAUGGCAGUGUUUGAUGGUAGUGCUUCCCUAUGGUGCCAUGUAUGGUGUCUGUAUAGUGGUAUGGUGCCAUGAAGUAGGCCAGUGUGGUUAUGAUGGUGUUGUUUAGUCUUCCCUUGUGGUUCUCAUGGCAGUUAUGGUGUUAUGGUGCCUGUUUCUCAUGGGGUUUCGUUUUUCACUCCCAGGGCAGUUUAUGGUGUUAUGGUGCUUCCCUUAUAGUGCCAUGGUGAGUGUUUUAUGAUGUUAUGGUGCUUCCCUUCUCCCAUGGCUGAUUUUAUGGUGUCUGUUUCUCAUGAUGCUAUGUUUUUCACUCCCAUGGCAGGUUAUGGUGGUAUGGUGCUUCCCUUAUAGUGCCAUGGUAAGAGUUUUAUGAUGUUAUGGUGCUUCCCUACUCCCAUGGCUGAUUUUAUGGUGUCUGUUUCUCAUGGCGUCACGUUUUUCACUCCCAUGGUAGGUUAUGGUGGUAUGGUGCUUCCCUUAUGGUGCCAUGGUGAGUGUUUAUGGUGUUGAUUAUGGUGCUUCCCUUCUCUCAUGGCUAAUUUUAUGGUGUCUUUUGCUAAUGGUGCUUUCUUCUUCACUCCCAUGGUAGUUUAUGGUGUUAUUGUGCUUCCCUAAUGGUGCCAUGGUGAGUGUUUAUGAUGUUAUGGUGCUUCCCUACUCCCAUGGCUGAUUUUAUGGUGUCUGUUUCUCAUGGCAUUCCUUUUUUACUCCCAUGGUGGGUUAUGGUGGUAUGGUGCUUCCCUUAUGGUGCCAUGGUGAGUGUUUAUGGUGUUGGUUAUGGUGCUUCCUCACUCCCAUGGCUGAUUUUAUGGUGUUCGCUUUUUAGGUUGUUUUCACUCCCAUGGCAGUUCAUGAUGUUAUGGUGCUUCCCUUAUGGUGCCAUGGUGAGUGUUUAUGGUGUUAGUUAUGGUGCUUCCCUUUCUCCCAUGGUUGUGGUUUGGUAUGGUGCUCCCUCACUACCAAGGCUUUCAAAAUCAUGGUAGUAAUGGUAGUUUCCUUAUGUAUGGUGUUAUUAGGUAUGGUAGCGUAGGUAUGGUGGUAUGGUGAGAGAAGAGGGACAGUGUGUGUGUGUGUGUGUGUGUGUGUGUGUGUGUGUGUGAUGACAUUGCAUAGUUUAAAGUUUUCUUUCAGAUAAGCUUGUUAGAUAGGAGAGAGAGAGAGAGAGAGAGAGAGAGAGAGAGAGAGAGAGAGAGAGAGAGAGAGAGAGAGAGAGAGAGAGAGAGAGAGAGAGAGAGAGAGCGUGUAAA